UGGGGGAUAUUGCGCAAUGGGGGAAACCCUGACGCAGCAACGCCGCGUGAAGGAAGAAGGCCUUCGGGUUGUAAACUUCUUUAAGUGUGGAAGAUAAUGACGGUACACACAGAAUAAGCCACGGCUAACUACGUGCCAGCAGCCGCGGUAAUACGUAGGUGGCGAGCGUUGUCCGGAUUUAUUGGGUUUAAAGGGUGCGUAGGCGGCUUAUUAAGUUAGAGGUGAAAGACUAAGGCUCAACCUUGGAAUUGCCUCUGAUACUGGUAAGCUAGAGUUCAGAUGAAGAAGGCGGAAUGUGUGGUGUAGCGGUGAAAUGCAUAGAUAUCACACAGAACACCGAUUGCGAAGGCAGCUUUCUAAACUGCGACUGACGCUGAUGCACGAAAGCGUGGGGAUCAAACA
rnacentral:rRNA from 1 species